CCUGAGAAACCCAAAAGAUCGAAUGGGGAGAUUCAUCGCUAGCUGUUUUGGCUUCCGUGCGUGUCGCGAUGAUCGGAGUUUCGGCUCCGCGUCACGCGCGCGCUGCGGCAUGUCCGAAAUAGUCAACGUGCACUUCUCCCCUAGUAGGACGUCGCGACCCGUUGGGUGCUGGUCUACGGGACGGUUGGUCGACUGGCGCAGAGUUUCGAUUCUCGUCAGACCACUGUUUUCCCGACCGGCUGCCCGGCGGUAUAGAACGAUCAUUAAACGGUAUUGGGCCGCAUCAAGUGCGUUCAGGCCCGUUGGCAGGCUCGUCUCGCUCGGAUUUACGGACCUAGUGCCGUUGCCGGGUGCUUGGCGUGGCCGUUGGUCGACGGUGUCCUCGGACUGGCUCUUUAUAUUCGAACGGAUAUACCGGUCGGCGACGCUACUGCUUUGGGUACUUUCAGGAC
rnacentral:rRNA from 1 species